rnacentral:misc_RNA from 1 species
GAUGAAGAACGCAGCGAAAUGCGAUAAGUAAUGUGAAUUGCAGAAUUCAGUGAAUCAUCGAAUCUUUGAACGCACAUUGCGCCCCUUGGUAUUCCGAGGGGCAUGCCUGUUCGAGCGUCAUUAUAACCCCUCAAGCUCAGCUUGGUGUUGGGGCCUGCUGCACUGGCAGCCCUUAAAAUCAGUGGCGGCGCCAUCUGGCUCUAAGCGUAGUAAUUCCUCUCGCUAUGGAGUCCUGGUGGAUGCUUGCCAUCAACCCCCAAUUUUUCUAUGGUUGACCUCGGAUCAGGUAGGGAUACCCGCUGAACUUAAGCAUAUCAAUAAGCGGAGGA